rnacentral:rRNA from 1 species
UACGGAGGAUCCAAGCGUUAUCCGGAAUCAUUGGGUUUAAAGGGUCCGUAGGCGGUUUUGUAAGUCCGUGGUGAAAGCCCAUCGCUCAACGGUGGAACGGCCAUUGAUACUGCAAGACUUGAAUUACUAGGAAGUAACUAGAAUAUGUAGUGUAGCGGUGAAAUGCUUAGAUAUUACAUGGAAUACCAAUUGCGAAGGCAGGUUACUACUAGUGGAUUGACGCUGAUGGACGAAAGCGUGGGGAGCGAACAGG